rnacentral:rRNA from 1 species
AGUGAACGCUGGCGGUAGGCCUAACACAUGCAAGUCGAACGGCAGCACAGUAAGAGCUUGCUCUUACGGGUGGCGAGUGGCGGACGGGUGAGGAAUACAUCGGAAUCUACUUUUUCGUGGGGGAUAACGUAGGGAAACUUACGCUAAUACCGCAUACGACCUACGGGUGAAAGCAGGGGAUCUUCGGACCUUGCGCGAUUGAAUGAGCCGAUGUCGGAUUAGCUAGUUGGCGAGGUAAAGGCCCACCAAGGCGACGAUCCGUAGCUGGUCUGAGAGGAUGAUCAGCCACACUGGAACUGAGACACGGUCCAGACUCCUACGGGAGGCAGCAGUGGGGAAUAUUGGACAAUGGGCGCAAGCCUGAUCCAGCCAUACCGCGUGGGUGAAGAAGGCCUUCGGGUUGUAAAGCCCUUUUGUUGGGAAUGAAAAGCAGCAGGUUAAUACCCCGCUGUUCUGACGGUACCCAAAGAAUAAGCACCGGCUAACUUCGUG